rnacentral:rRNA from 1 species
CGCGGCCUAUCAGCUUGUUGGCGGGGUAAUGGCCCACCAAGGCAACGACGGGUAGCUGGUCUGAGAGGAUGGUCAGCCACACUGGGACUGAGACACGGCCCAGACUCCUGCGGGAGGCAGCAGUGGGGAAUCUUGCGCAAUGGGCGAAAGCCUGACGCAGCAACGCCGCGUGCGGGAAGAAGGCUUUCGGGCUGUAAACCGCUUUCAGCAGGGACGAAAAUGACGGUACCUGCAGAAGAAGGAGCGGCCAACUAUGUGCCAGCAGCCGCGGUGAUACGUAGGCUUCAAGCGUUGUCCGGAUUUAUUGGGCAUAAAGAGUUCGUAGGCGGUCGAGUAAGUCGGGUGUGAAAAUUCUGAGCUCAACCCAGAGACGCCACCCGAUACUGCUUAACUUGAGUUCGAUAGGGGAGUGGGGAAUUCCUAGUGUAGCGGUGAAAUGCGCAGAUAUUAGGAGGAACACCGGUGGCGAAGGCGCCACUCUGGAUCGACACUGACGCUGAGGAACGAAAGCAUGGGUAGCAAACAGGAUUAGAUACCCUGGUAGUCCAUGCGGUAAACGGUGGGCACUAGGUGUGGGUUUCUAUUAACGAAAUCCGCGCCGUCGCUAACGCAUUAAGUGCCCCGCCUGGGGAGUACGG